CAUUUGUUAGUGCUAUCGAACUUAACAAAAACAAUUAAUCUCUGGCCGCGUGUCUUCACCAUUAUUCUUUUCUUCUUUGCAAAUUUCUGAACAUGGGUCAAAUAUUUGUCAGAGUAUUUUCUCAAAAUGGUUAACGAAACAUCAGCAGUAACAACGCUCCCUUCAUGUAAUCAAGCAUAUCACAUAUUGUUGAAUAUGUGAUUCAAAAUUGACAACAGUUAUUUUACUUUUAUUGUGUUUAGACUUGGUCAAAGUUGGUUUUUCAUUUUUUACUUUCAGGUGAAGCAUGUCUUUAGUUCAGUUGAGAUGCAAUGCCUAUAAAAAGGCAGCUUUGGUUAUGGAAAAUAUUUUAUUGUAGAAAACAGUCUUGAGUUCACUUUCGGCCCACCAAGUGUUUGACAAAAUUCCUCGUCCAACAUUCUUAUACUUAUUGACUGUAAUUUCUCUGUUUUGCAUCGUUUGAGUUUCAGUUUCUUCUCCAACAAAUAUGUCAAUCAUAUUGUUAUAAACACAAGGCUCGUGGGAGUAAUUUUCUUGAUGCUCCGCCCAGGUGAAAAAACUUAAAUGCUAUUUUCUCCUCCAAGUGAAACCUUUGCAGGACUGCAAGGACCAAUGAAGGGGUUACUUCAACCCCAAUUUCAUCAACAAGAUUCUCGUCGGAACCUUAGUAAAUUUUACGAACAAUCCUUUGUUUUGGUCGAUGUUCGGUUGGUUUUUUUUAGGUUUUAGUUUAUUUGGUGGAAUAAAUUAACAUAAGCUACAUUUUAAUUACCACAAAAUUUUAUUACAAAAUUAAAAUAUUUUGUGAAGUAAAUUUAAUUAUUUUUAAUGUAUUUAAAAAAGUUAUAAAGUGUCAUUUCAGCGACAAACGUGGAUAUGUAGUCUCUGCUCGGUGCAACCGUCGGUCGUCUCUCUCUUUCGCAGACGAACUGAAGAAACACCUGGCUCGCGUUGGAAACCGGACUGAACAGGGGACUGAGAGUAUUCCAAUUAUCUUUUGCGGGAAAGAGAAAGAGAAAAAUUGAGAAGCCAUAAAGGACAAAGACGGGGGAUACGUGAUUUGGUAUCUUCUUUUGGUAAAUUUAUCGAAAUUAGGAGCAAAAGAUGCUGCAGGAGUCGCAUGUGUCAGCCGGGGGUUAAGGGUUUCUUCCUAUGAGGAUUCUCUCUGGUCCGAUUUUUGUUCCAGGGAUCUUAAUCUCUCUGCUCCUCUCGAUCCUCAUGGAAGCCCUCCCCUCGCCUUCUUUCAAGAAGAAGAGAAAAGGAAAGAACUCCACUAGCCAACUCGCGCUCAGGUUGACUCAGCUGUAACACAUCGGAGGCACGAAAACGACGGCAGAAGCAGCAUUUUGGGUCCGAAAACGACGAGAGAACACGUGUGUUAUAUGCCGGCACGUGCGUCGGUGACAGAUGGGUGAUUGCUCUGAAUCCGAGCUUGCAUGAAGAGAAGCAGAUGAUGUUGGCAUAAUUAUUGCCAAGAAGAGAUUCAAGUCGCACUCAGGUGGACUCAACUCUGCGAGCUGUAACACGUACGAGACACAAAAAUGACAGCAAAAGCAGUGUUUCGGAUCCGGAGGAUAUAAUGUACAUGCCGCUGGUUUGAUGGAGCCACAGUGAUAGAUGAGAUUGUUUGCUUUGAAUCCGAGGUUGCAUGACUAGUUGGUCAAUCGGAAAGAGGUAUGAUGCAACAGAAGAUCAUUUGGUGACAAACUUUUCUCAACAGAGAAUGAUUCUUAAGUGUAGUCAAUAGAGUAGAGACUAUGUUAUGAAAUUUCGAGAUUUGAUUAGUUCUAAUCAAGUAGAAGAAAGGAAUCAGUUAGAAGAAGCACGGUUUUCCUUCUUUUAGGGCGGAUACGUGAAAGAUUUUGUUCUGCAUGGUAGGUCAAGAGACAAGGAUGAGUAAAGGAAUUAUUGCCAAAAAGAGCUAUGUAUGAUGCAACAGAAGAUCCUUUGCUGACAUAUUUUUCUCAACAGAGACGGAUUCUUAAGCGUAUGUAUUAUUUUCAACACAAUCAUCCUUCUCUGUCUCUCUUGAUCACUUAUUCCUGUUAUAUAUUAGUUUUGUUCAUUAUUAUGCCCCUUAUAUUUUAAGUAGGUUCUGGUUGCUCCUAUUAAUGUGUUUUAGUAUUUGAACUCUAUAGAAACUUACAUAUUGUUGGAUGAUGGUGAUAUCUAUCUCUGGGAUGUCAAGCUGAUGUUGGUGCUGUUUUAUUAACAUAUCUACUUUUGUUAUGUAUCAUUAUGAUGCUAAAUUGAUCAUUG